ensembl:lncRNA SNHG5 small nucleolar RNA host gene 5
GCUGCGCACUUCGGUCUUUUACGUCGGCCUUCGCGAGCGUCUGGGCGGGUGGUAGGAACAAUGGCGCUGUCUUCAGUGGCACAGUGGAGCAGCUCUGAAGAUGCAAAGAUACACGAAAAAACUUCCAGAACAUCUGGGAGAAUAUUUAAUGGAAAAUCGCUUGGUUAAAACCUGACACUUUUAACAGGUAUGUGUUGUUUUAGUACUUUAUGAUUGAGCAUAGCAUUUAAUCCACACCUAGACUAAAUCAAAUUUUUUUUGUCAGUGAACAGCGUUCUGAGUGUGGACGAGUAGCCAGUGAAGAUAAUGAAUGUCGAAUGUGACUGACUAGCAGCUUCAUUUUGAAGUAGGUUGUAUGGCUUAAAAGUUCUGUAGUAUUUGUACUAUAAUACUUGCCUUUUAGCAUUACCUUGGUUUGUAGUCAGUGUCACAGAAGUGCAGUUUAAUGUAUUAUGUGUACAUAUACAAGGUCUGAUUGGUCUAAUCAAUGAUGAAACCUAUCCCGAAGCUGAUAACCUGAAGAAAAAUAAGUACGGAUUCGGCUUCUGAGAUUAAGACCAGUAAUUCAGAGGUGGAGUAAAUUUUGUUGCCGUGAUUUUAUAACAGUUGUGUUAUAAAAUCCUGGGUUUUUUUUUUUUCUGCCAACAGUGAGGGUCGCUGUCUGCCCAUUGAUAGAGGCCAGAUUGUCUUGGAAGUUCCAAAGUUGCAACGAUUUCUGUAAGUGGAGUUUUUCUGUUUGCUUAGAGAUCAGUGAAUAUUGUGUCCUUGGUCUUAUCUGUGAUGAUCUUAUCCCGAACCUGAACUUCUGUUGAAAAAAAAAAACUUUUACGGAUCUGGCUUCUGAGAUGGACCGUUAUAAGGACAAUAUUUUUUUUUAAUACUUUUAAUGCUUUUACAUAUGUUGUAAUGUUUGUAGUCUUGUAAGAAUCUCGUGUUUUUCCUUUUCUAGGGCUAGUGCCACGAGGUUUACUUGACUGUUGUGUGAAAAGCUGAUAAGAAAACCAUCCAGAAAAAAGCUCUUCGUUUUACAAACAUGAAAAUAAAACAUGUAAUUUUGGAUUAUGUUCCUUUUUGUUAUUACUUUUAAAUAGGUCCUGAAAUAACAUGGGGAGCAUUAAAUGGAAAAUCCACUAACCAGCCUUGUAAUCAAAUUACUGUGAGUGAAUGUUUCGGGUUUGUGCAGGGUACAAUGUAAGGGUUUUUGGAUCAGUGUAAGAGUGGAGAGACAGGAAUUAGAAGUAAUUGUUACUAAGCAAAUCAUGGAAUAUUUAGUUUUGAUGUAACUAUAAUUUUGAAAGCCUGGAUGCUUAAGUUGAGAAAUGGGGGAAUGAGAUACAGAAAAUAAGGAGCACAAUAGAAUAAUAAUAGCAGUUUAUUAAGUAUGGUCAUGAGGGAAGGUUACUGAUAAAACAAUCUGGUAAAGACAUUCAGGCUUGCUAAAAUCUAGGAAGAGGUCAUUUGGCAGGAUGGGUUACAUAAUGCUAUCUGAUACUACCAAAUAAAA